GGGGUGGUGGCGCAGUUGGCUAGCGCAUAGGUCUCAUAAUCCUGAGGUCGAGAGUUCGAGCCUCUCUCACCCCA
rnacentral:tRNA from 1 species